UACGUAGAGGGCAAGCGUUGUCCGGAAUCAUUGGGCGUAAAGCGCGCGUAGGUGGCUUCAUAAGUCCGUUGUGAAAGUCAAAGGCUCAACCUUUGAAAGCCGAUGGAUACUGUGGAGCUAGAGUACGGAAGAGGCGAGUGGAAUUCCUGGUGUAGCGGUGGAAUGCGCAGAUAUCAGGAGGAACACCAAUAGCGAAGGCAGCUCGCUGGGACGUUACUGACACUGAGGCGCGAAAGCGUGGGGAGCGAACAGG
rnacentral:rRNA from 1 species